CCCUUAGAUGUUCUGGGCCGCACGCGUGCUACACUGAGUGGAUCAGCGGGUCAGGUUACGCGAGAGCGUUUCCUAAUCUUCAAAUCCGCUCGUGAUGGGGAUUGACGGUUGCAAUUUUCCGUCAUGAACGAGGAAUACCUUGUAAGCGCGGGUCAUCAUCCCGCGCUGAAUACGUCCCUGCCCUUUGUACACACCGCCCGUCGCUCCUACCGAUUGAGUGGUCCGGUGAGGCUUUGGGAUCUAAGCGAAAAGAGCGUUUCGCUCCUUUUGCUGGGAGAGCUCAGUCGAACCUUAUCAUUUAGAGGAAGGAGAAGUCGUAACA
rnacentral:rRNA from 1 species